UGUCAUCUCGCUUCUUGCCUCCGGUGCUGCCAGUGCACACUACCUGUUCUGCAUUGUACUUUGUUUAAUUUAAGUUUCGUGAACAUCAGCCUCUACAGUUCUUGACAGACUGCACUGAUGUCCAAGUUUCAUUCGUUUCUAGUUCAAUAAAAAUUAUUAGCUGU